rnacentral:rRNA from 1 species
GUGCCAGCCGCCGCGGUAAUACCGGCAGCCCAAGUGAUGUCCAAUAUUAUUGGGCCUAAAGCGUCCGUAGCUGGCCGCACAAGUCUGUCGAGAAAUCCACCUGCUCAACAGGUGGGCGUCCGGCGGAAACUGUGUGGUUUGGGACCGGAAGGCUCGAAGGGUACGUUCGGGGUAGGAGUGAAAUCCCAUAAUCCCGCACGGACCACCGAUGGCGAAAGCACUUCGAGAAAACGGAUCCGACAGUGAGGGACGAAAGCCAGGGUCUCCAACCGGAUUAGAAACCCUGGUAGUC